rnacentral:pre_miRNA from 1 species
CUAACUCAAAUUUGUAUGGCUUUGGGACGUUUGCCUACUUUUGCCACUAGGGGCGCUGUUCCAACUGCAUAAAAAUUUGAGUUA